ensembl:ncRNA T06H11.8 ncRNA
GAUAGUAGAAUGACGUUCAAGUAUAGAAAAAAGGGGUUGAAGAGGAGCUGUGGAAAAGGAUUAGUUUCAACCAACCGGUUGGUUUUUCCCGCGAGCAAAAGGGCGGUGGUGCUUU